rnacentral:rRNA from 1 species
UACAGAGGGUGCAAGCGUUAAUCGGAAUUACUGGGCGUAAAGCGUGUGUAGGUGGUUUGUUAAGUCAGGUGUGAAAUCCCUGGGCUCAACCUAGGAAUUGCAUUUGAUACUGACAAGCUUGAGUGUGGUAGAGGAUGGUGGAAUUCCAGGUGUAGCGGUGAAAUGCUUAGAUAUCCGAAGGAACAUCAGUGGCGAAAGCGGCUUCCUGGACCAGAACUGACGAUCAGGCACGAAAGCGUGGGGAGCAAACAGG